rnacentral:rRNA from 1 species
CAGGAUGAACGCUAGCGACAGGCUUAACACAUGCAAGUCGAGGGGCAUCACGGGAGUAGCAAUACAACUGGUGGCGACCGGCGCACGGGUGAGUAACGCGUAUGCAACCUACCUAUCAGAGGGGAAUAACCCGGCGAAAGUCGGACUAAUACCGCAUAAAACAGGGGCACCGCAUGGUGAUAUUUGUUAAAGAAAUUCGCUGAUAGAUGGGCAUGCGUUCCAUUAGGUAGUUGGUGAGGUAACGGCUCACCAAGCCGACGAUGGAUAGGGGAACUGAGAGGUUGGUCCCCCACACUGGUACUGAGACACGGACCAGACUCCUACGGGAGGCAGCAGUGAGGAAUAUUGGUCAAUGGGCGGGAGCCUGAACCAGCCAAGUCGCGUGAAGGAAGAAGGAUCUAUGGUUCGUAAACUUCUUUUGCAGGGGAAUAAAGUGCAGGACGUGUCCUGUUUUGUAUGUACCCUGAGAAUAAGGAUCGGCUAACUCCGUGCCAGCAGCCGC